rnacentral:rRNA from 1 species
CAGCCGCCACGGUAAUACGUAGGUGGCAAGCGUUAUCCGGAAUUAUUGGGCGUAAAGCGCGCGUAGGCGGUUUUUUAAGUCUGAUGUGAAAGCCCACGGCUCAACCGUGGAGGGUCAUUGGAAACUGGAAAACUUGAGUGCAGAAGAGGAAAGUGGAAUUCCAUGUGUAGCGGUGAAAUGCGCAGAGAUAUGGAGGAACACCAGUGGCGAAGGCGACUUUCUGGUCUGUAACUGACGCUGAUGUGCGAAAGCGUGGGGAUCAAACAGGAUUAGAUACCCGUGUAGUCCCUGUCUCUUAUAC